GGGGAUAUAGCUCAGUUGCACAGUGUCUACCUGGCAAGUGUGAGGUCCUGAGUUCAAUUCCCAGUACCCCCC
rnacentral:tRNA from 1 species